rnacentral:rRNA from 1 species
AUUGAACGCUGGCGGCAGGCCUAACACAUGCAAGUCGAGCGAGCGGCGGACGGGUGAGUAAUGUAUGGGGACUGCCCGAUAGAGGGGGAUAACUACUGGAAACGGUAGCUAAUACCGCAUACUAUCGGAUAACCCAUAUGGGAUUAGCUAGUGGGUGAGGUAAUGGCUCACCUAGGCCACGAUCCCUAGCUGGUCUGAGAGGAUGAUCAGCCACAGUGGGACUGAGACACGGCCCAGACUCCUACGGAGGCAGCAGUGGGGAAUAUUGCACAAGUGGCGCAGUCCGAAGACAGACAUGCCGGUGGUAUGAAGAAGGCCCUAGGGUUGUAAAGUACUUUCAUUCGGGAGGCGUUACCGACAGAGAAAGCACCGGCUAACUCCGUGCCAGCAGCCGCGGUAAUUC